UACGUAGGGUGCGAGCGUUGUCCGGAAUUACUGGGCGUAAAGGGCUCGUAGGUGGUUUGUCACGUUGUCCGUGAAAACUCACAGCUUAACUGUGGGCGUGCGGGCGAUACGGGCAGACUGGAGUACUGUAGGGGAGACUGGAAUUCCUGGUGUAGCGGUGGAAUGCGCAGAUAUCAGGAGGAACACCGGUGGCGAAGGCGGGUCUCUGGGCAGUAACUGACGCUGAGGAGCGAAAGCGUGGGGAGCGAACAGG
rnacentral:rRNA from 1 species